rnacentral:tRNA from 1 species
AAGCCCCGGCACCACUUAGGGUGCUGUUUCAAAUUUGCAAUUUGAUGUGUAUCACUACUAGAGCU